rnacentral:rRNA from 1 species
UACAGGGGGGGCUAGCGUUAUCCGGAAUGAUUGGGCGUAAAGGGUCUGUAGGUGGUUCAUGAAGUUCAAUGUUAAAAACCAGGGCUCAACCCUGGGAAGGCAUUGAAGUACUCAUGGACUAGAGUGCGGUAGGGGUAGAGGGAACUCCGCGUGGAGCGGUGAAAUGCGUAGAGAUGCGGAGGAACACCAGUGGCGAAGGCGCUCUACUGGGCCGAGACUGACACUGAGAGACGAAAGCUGAGGGAGCGAAAAGG